GCUCAAUUAAGCCUGCGCCCCUUUGGCUGGCGGAGAAGCCGCUUCAAAGUGACGGAGCGAAAUUCAGCUAAAAGUUACAAAAGCAAACUCCAAAGUCGCCCCACGCCUUCUGGAAGGAUCAUGGGAGAGGUGAAAACGGAAGCGCUGAAGCAGAAAUGGACAAAAAAAUCCCCUCGGCGUCAGGACAGGUGAGUCCGCUCAGGUGAGCAACCCGGACAGGAGGUGGGGAAGAGAUGCUAUCGGGGGAGGACGGGAAAGCAGAAGAAAGGAGGAUGGCCUGUCUACUCACCACACCUCCCAGCUACCCUAAAAACACGAGAAAUAGUGAACCAUAGGAGGUAAAAGCUGGAAACAGAGGGCCGGGACGUUUCAGUCGCAAAGCCACGACAGCAGGCAAAUCUGAAAACCGUCACCGUCACAGAAGAGGACUGCGAAAUCACGGCUGGUCAAAUGCCAGUGCGGGCGGCGGAGACGACAAGAGCACAACCGAAAUGGAAAAAGAAGGAAAACAAAAGCAAAAGAAAGAGGAUAACUGUCUGUGGGAGAGUGAGUGGUGAGAUGGCGUGGUGUGAUUAGUGCGCCUGGGGUUAGGAGAGGUGCAGGAUGAAUGAAUGAAUGGCAUGUUGCCGGGGCUGUCUGAGGAGUUUGGGCAGAGCCUUUCCCCUCCUCCUCCCCCUCCUCCUCGUUUCUGUCACAUCACUUCCCUGCUCUCACCUGCAGCGCUUGUGUUUUUUCCUAUCCGGUCUUCUUUUUAGUGCUAUCUAUCUAUCUAUCUGUCAAGUAGGCCUAUAAAUACACUUUAUUCUGGGGAAGUGAUGCAAAAUGCAGAAAAUAUUUCAGUCAAAGAGAUAAUCUGCUGAAAGAAAACCUGCUCUCGGUUACCUGGAUAACCUUUCUCUCUCUCUUUCUCUCUCUCUGUUCAUUCUCUCCAUCCGUUUACAUUUUAAUCCGAUAUUUGUAUAUAUCAUUUAAAUUUGUAUAUAUAUAUCAUUCUCCUCAUCCCUUAGAGUUUAAUUCAGUGUCUGUGCUUAUGUGCUUUGUUGGUGUGAAUUAAGAGAGUAAAAUUGCGCCAAAGUAUCAGGA